ACAUGCCUACAAAAUAGCGUUAAUGCACCAGAUCCCAUUAGAACUUCAAAGUUAAGCACACUCGCGCUAGAGCAGUAUUGGGAUGGGUGACUACCUAGGAAGUCUUUGUGUUUUACAUGCC
rfam:Picea glauca, whole genome shotgun sequence.